CCAACGAACACCAUACAACCUCCACGCCGUAACAUCUAAACCAUCAAUCGUCUUCCCCAUUUCAUCCGCCGAAAUACACCGAUUAACCUCCGCCUUGCAAAACCCCCAAAUCCUCACUUCAUUUCGUCCCUUUCGAAAUUCACAAAAAAAACCUUUCCGACGAACGUUACAUCGUCACCGUCGCGUUUGAGUUGCAGUUCUGUUUGGUUUAUACCUUGUUUUUAGUUUUCAAUGAACCUUAAAGCAAUUUCCAGGAAGGCUAUUGAACCUGUACAAGUGGGAGAAACAUAUGAGCUGUUGUGAAUUGCACUUGAAGGCCACGGGUAGAAACUCAGUUUCGAAGGGACGUCCCAAACAGCGAAGGAAGGACGAUACGCCCCAACAGACUCAGAGCAGCGGACAGAAAGUGAUAGCUUGGUCGAUUUGGGAUUAAAUUUGUUUAUAGUUACGGUAACAGUCCGUGUCGUGUUUCUUCUUGAUAUUAUGCUGUUUGCUACAGCCACUGUUUUGAUUCAAACUCGGUUGCAUUAGUCCAUGUUGGUUGUUGGUAUUAGAAUGUUGUAAUGCUCUUUUCUAGGAUAUUCCCAAUGCGAUUGUGCUGUUGUCGUUAUGUGUUGAAGUUGUCGUGUUUAUUACAAGAUUAAUUGAGGAUUUGAUUUCAUACUGUUAUCAAUUGUUUUGUUUGUUGACAUCUUUGGGUAAAACACUAGGAGAAGUUGUAUGUAUUAAAUGAGAGCUUCAGAAUUAAAGUUUAAACUUAUUAUACAUUGCA